CCGUUUCAUUUAACAAUAAAAUUAGAGCCGAGUUCCUCUUCUAUGCAAAUCAAUACAGGACUGCUCCAAGCUAGGUAUAUCAUCUUGAAGCACAUCUUGCUUCCGCAGGCGUACUUUGUUGGUGAUGGAUACUCAUAAGGUCAUUGCCCUGCUGAAAAGAGCCACCGAGACCAAAGAGAUACAUCUGGGGAGGCUCAUCCACGCCCUCCUUAUCAAGACUGAUUACCAGUGUAUGCCCAGUUCGGACACUAGCCGAAGACCUGCAAACACUUCCAACAAACACAACACGGAAGGCCAGCGCGAAGUUACUGCACCAUCGGAGUCGGCUUGGAAGUCUGAUCCGGUGUAGCAGCUGCUGAAAAAGUCGAACAGAUUCGUGCCCAUAUUGUAAAAUUCGGUUAUAAAAGGCGAAGUCUUUAUAAAAAGCGCUGCGGGUGAUAUGCAUUCGAACUGGGGGGAUAGGAAGGAUACAUGCAAUCUGUUUGAGAAAAUGCCCGAAUGCUUCGAGUGUUUCCUCUACGGAUGAUGAGCUAUGGUGUUGGUUUUACCAAAAACUUGCUGAAAAUUCGCCCGUAAUCGAUGCCAAAACUUGCAGAAAACCAGCAGCACAGAACUUGUGAGUAAAACUUGUGAAAGCUCACUAGUUUUGUCAUCUGAAAAAUUACCUGACUACUCUGUGAGUUUGCUAUCUAUGCUUUUGUUCUUUUCACUAUCAUAUCAUAAAGUGAUCUUUCUAUAGUGUUCCAUUGAAGACAAAAACUUAAGAGCUACCAUUCUAUCCCUUGGUUUAUGGUUAUUAAAGAAUGCUGCUUCCAUUGAUUAAAGAAUGCUGCCACAAUUCUUGGUGUUUGUAUGACGGGGUGUGACCCAGUCAUAGGUUCCAUCUAAGUGAAAGUUUCAUCUAAGAAUGCGUAUAAGUGAGUUUUCAUUCUAAUUUAUUAAUAUGAGGACAUAUCUAAAUGUAAUGAAUAUUUCAAACUAUUUCCUAAAUGAAUUCUAGACAUGAAAAUAUUGGAUUUUUAUAUAGUUGAUAUAGAUGUAUCUAGAAACACCACAUAUUCUUUAAAUUAGAAUAGUUAUAUAAUGGUCAUUCGACUGUCUUAUAUGGCCGUAAAUUGGUUAUUGAGACCUUGUGAAAGUUUGUUUUCCUUCAAAGAAAUUGAUUUUCUUUUAAGA